GAUUCUGCAGGCACUGGCUACCAUGUUUUGUGCUGUCUUAUGGAGAGGCCAAAGUGGCAAGGAGCUGAGGAUGGUCUCUGGCCAACAGCCCAUGAGGACCUGAAUCUUGACAACAACCAUCACAGCACACCAGAGAGUCAACUGUUUCUCCUCAUGAUUGAAGGGCUGACAGGGAUCUGUGUUUUCUGCCACUGACUAGCAUCAUAGAGAGUCUAGCGUGGAACAUUGCCAGCCUGGGAAAAAAAAAUAAAUUUCAAAGUUGGAAAUAUGAUUGCUACUGAAGUUCUGGGCGUGGAUAAUGAGAAGACCCACCCUGUGUGUGAGUGCUACCCAGGUACCCUGAAAGAGGGCUGCUGCCAUUGCUUGCUGCUCGCUGCUUUGCUGCCUUCUGCCGACCAUGGACUGUUUCUCCUCUGUGACACCCCUCUGCCAUGACACCCUGCCUUAGAGAUAGCAAAUUAUGGACUGAAAUCUCUACAAAC
rnacentral:lncRNA from 1 species